rnacentral:lncRNA from 1 species
CUGGGAGAAUGUCAGUCAGGGUGAAGGCUAUGGAAGGAGAUAUUAAAACAGGACACCAAAGAGCUUUUCCCUUCCCAGUGAUUGUUUAUUUUAAUAGCAUUUGCAUCAGGAAAUCAACUGAAACACUUCAACAACAGAAAGCUGGCAGCAGGUUAAAGAGAACAAGUGAUUAUCUUUCCAACAGAUGCGACAGAAUGGUUUCAAGUUGGAAUCGUAUUGCACAAAUGAAUCCAUGGUGAGGGAGGGAACAAGGGAGUGAGAAAGGGGGAGACAGAAAGGGGAGAGGGCAUCUUACAACAUGGAUUGUGAGGAAAAAAGGCACUAUUCAGCUUCCAUGUAGUUUUAAAAUAAAAGUCAUGAAGCACAAUCUAUGUUUCUCAAAGUUACAUUCGAUGCUGCUAAAAAGUCGCUCCCUCACCUGACUCGCCACAAAAGGCAGAGGAAUAGUACCAUUAUGACGUUCCCAACAGGCCUCUUGAUCAAGAGGACCCGGUUUAUAAACGUGCUGCAGCCGUUGGGCCCGUGGGCCCUCGUCAGCACCUCUCCACGCCGCUCGGCAGUAUCGCGGGCUCCCCUCUGGAGGAGCUAAGUUGGCAGUGCAUUGGAAACAGGCCAUUUCUGCAGACCGUGUGAGCUUUAUCGUAGCCAGCAUCACACAAACCAUUUAUUAAUACCAAGGAAAUGAAUGCAAAAACCCCCACAAUCCUAGCAAGUGCCCUGACAGAGACAGCACUACUGACUGCAGGGGCAAACUUUUAUAACAUAAAAUAGGGGCAUCUCAACCUCUCGAGGGUGAGCCUCAAGAAAUGGGCCUAUGAGAUGCUUUCUACAAGCUGUGGAUUGGGAGCCCACAGAAUCUUCAUUCUGAAAACAUUAAAUGAUGAAAUCUAGCCAAGUCUUAGAAAUUUCAUUAAUGCAAAGUUUGAUUGUAAGUUCAAAUAACAGGAAUACAUUAUUUAUUCAAUUUCUCUCAUGUCUAAAGCUAUUUGGCAAAAAAGAGGGAGACAGAGUUCGAUAGAGCAAUAGAGAGAAUGUUACAUCUACAGAACAGAGUUCUUCCUAAUUAUGCAAAGAGAAAAUCAUCUGCAAUGUAAAAAUGCAGUUUAUCACAAAAAAAUACUAACAAGUUUAGUGAUUUUGUCAAUGUCAUUUAUGUGACAAAGCAAUUAUGGAUUUCAAAUGACAAGACUGGAAAAAAAAAUAAAUGAAAACAACUAAAAUGUAUAAAGCUGAUCCUUUUUAAAAUACUCUAAUUUUUUUUUUCAUUAGAUUAAAUCUGAUUACUCAGAGUUCCGAGGCAUCCAAAAUUCUGCAAAUUGUAUUAAUACAUACAGGUGAUAUAAAAGUAAUUCCCUGUUCAUUUUCUUUUAUUUUUACUAUCAGGUAAAGGGAUAUUUUACACAUUAAAGCUAGGCAAAAUCCAUAUAACUCCCCAUUAGAGUUGAAAACAGUCACAUAAAUUUAUUAAUGGGUGUCAUUUUUGGAGCAAUUAGAAAAUAGAAGUUAAAACAAUUUGAACAAAAAGGUAUCUUUUCCUCUCCUAGGAAAUAAACAUAUAUAUACAUAUAUACAUAUAACAUAUAACAUUGUCUUUUAAAAUGCAAAGUGGUUAAUUCAUUUUUAUAUAUUAAAAAAAGUAUUUCCCUAUGGUCAAAAAUACUGACAAAGAGCAGAGGCUGGAAAACACCCACAUUUGCCACUUUAAAAAAAUACAUUAUUGUUUCAGCAGUUGAGGGUACGAAUUUAUUACAAAUCUCGGUCCCCUGCUUUGGAAUCAUAAGGAAUCUGCAGCAUUUGCAGAAAUGGGCUGGGUUGGACCAUGAGAUGUCACUGGGUCCACUCCCCCAACUCCUGGCAGGACCACGCCUAAGUCACCCCAGACAUAUGAUGCUGUCAAUGUCACCACUUUGAAAAUUGUGUGUUUAAUCAGGGAAAGGAAAGAACUUACUUGGAUGUACCCAAUCAUCAACAUUUGUCAGGCUGGUGGAAACUUUUGGGUCCUAGGUUGCCCUUUAGAUGGGAGUUAGGGGCUCUUGAGAGUAGGAAAUAAACUCUCUGAGGCCACAGAACAGAAGUUCAUAAUGAUGUUUCCAGUGCCCCCGGGGGCUAUAUUUAUAGGAAAGAGCUUCCCCUGCAAGUCCUCAGCUUGCACUUGGGUCAUGAGCUGCCCAGCCAAAAGCUGUGAGCUCGCACUGAUGUAAACUUUAUGACAGAUCCACCUGAGAUCUGCUCCUAUUUAGAAGUGAGGGGCUUUUGGGGAGACUAUUUUUUUUUUGUCGGUUACCAAAUAAACAAUUUAUUCCAAUAAAUAAAUGGAAGAUGAGAUUAGUCAAAAACCGCCAGGUACCCAGCAAGGUCUUCUCAGCAUUCAGAUGUGAUUCAGAUUUUUUAAGUGUUUCUUUUCAAUAUCCCUCUUGCAUUUUUCUUCAAAUACCUUUAGAAGUUUUGUCCUGAUCCCAGUGCCCUUUUUUUGACAGGUAAAAAUAUUCUUUAGGGCGACAUUCAAAAUGCUUUCAUAUGAUGGAGUGAGGCAUUCCUUGGCCAUGUUUACUUA